CUCAAGUUAUUCAAUCCAAGGUUUGACAAUGGCCUCCAAGAUAGCACUAGUAGUCUUGUCUCUACCGGUGUUAGCAUUCUUCCUCUGCAUUGGUACUGCAGAAGCUGGCCCGCAGUGCACAUACAAGAUUAAUCCUUACUAUCAUGGUAGGUGCAAGACAGAUUAUGACAACGACAAUUGUCGAAUUGCUUGUACAAGAUUUGAGGCACCAAAGUACAUGGGUGGUGUAUGUUCUGAUGAACAAUGCGUCUGCUAUACUUGUUAAUGAUCGUCGGACUCAUCCACCACUCGGGGAGAUACAUCACUUGUGCCUUGGUGGACACCACCAUGGAAAGAUUAGAGCUCCUAGGAAGAUUGCUUUCUUUUAUUGUAUCAGAAUAAAUUGGCAAUGUGUCUGAUUGUGCUUUAGCAAGUAUUUAUUUCUGAUGAGUUAUGAUGAAGAGUUUCCAAUCGAUUUAAA